CGGUAUCAUGCAGAAAUAUGUGAAGAUGUGCCUCCUGCAGAACCAGACCCAGAAGCUCCACAUGAUUGCUUUGAACAGAUGAAGAUGGAAACUACCCAUCUUCCCACAGUGCAUGAAACUGCCGUGCCAAACCCUGAUUACACACUGUUUGUGGAUGGUUCCGGAUUCGCAGACAAACAGGGUCAAUACCAUACCGGGUAUGCAGUCACCA